UCCCCUCUCGCUCUUUCUCUCGCUCUCUCUCUCUCAUACUCACACAUCAUGUGGUUGGAAUAUGCUCUCGCCUAACUCAGAUAGUAACUGAAGCACGCGUAAUGAGCUGGGUAUUAGCGGCAAUUUUAAACGGAAGAGUGGCGAGUGAUGGCUGGAUAUUGUGGGAAGCUCUAGAAAGAGCAGCGCAUAUGCUCGAAGGGCCUCUGUUUUGGGAUGAUUUCUGACUGCUCAAGACAGCUGCUGUAUAAACUGGCGACAUUUAAAUGAUAGGGGCAGAAGAUGACCAGAGUUUACCCCGUGGAGGAGAGCAGGGCGCUGACCUGUGUGAAAUGUAUCCUGAAGCACACAAUACCUGAGGAAAGAGGAGACGGAGGAGAGAACGCAGCUGAGGGCUGAACUUGCGGGGAAGGAGGACAUGGCCGUUCGUUAAGAUGCCGGUCCCCCGGAGGCACGAGGGCACAAAGGAAAGGGAUGUGACGGAUGACAGCAUUGUUCUCCUGAAGAAAAGUGAGAGUCAGGUUCACGCCGCCCCACCCCCUUAACUCAGUGUAACGAGCUCUGUCUGUAACUUCUCAUCAUCUUUCACCAGAUUAAACUGAUCACGUGACACCUGAGUUAGUCUCCCUCUCUCAGUAAGAAAUGCGAUAAAUUAUUAUUCACCAUUUACACUUUUCACGGGUCUGUGUAUGUUUCUGCCCUUAUAGUUGGUAUAUCAAUGAUUGUGUUGUGAAUUUUAAGUGCUUAUUUUUGUAUCUUAUUUUUUAUGAAUGGAUGAUUAUUUCAAUAAAAUAUAUUUUUGUUACCAAAAUGA